AACGAACGCUGGCGGCGUGCCUAACACAUGCAAGUCGUGCGAGAAAGUUCCUUCGGGAGCGAGUAAAGCGGCGCACGGGUGAGUAACACGUAGGUAACCUGCCCCCCAGUCUGGAACAACUAGAGGAAACUCUAGCUAAUGCCGGAUGAGACCACGAUCCCUUCGGGGGUUGCGGCCAAAGAUGGCCUCUACUUGUAAGCUAUCGCUGAGGGAUGGGCCUGCGGGCCAUUAGCUUGUUGGUGAGGUAACGGCUCACCAAGGCUGUGAUGGCUAGCUGGUCUGAGAGGAUGACCAGCCACACUGGGACUGAGACACGGCCCAGACUCCUACGGAGGCAGCAGUGGGGAAUAUUGCGCAAUGGGCGAAAGCCUGACGCAGCGACGCCGCGUGGGUGAUGAAGG
rnacentral:rRNA from 1 species